CUUUCGGCUUCUGUAACUGGUAUCAUAGUCUGAGUUCUCGGAGGAAUCUGAGAGAAGGGAGAGGCGAGAGUAGCGAAGAAAAUAGAACAGAAGAGGAAAAGGAUAAAGGUCUUGUGUCAUGUGUGUCUUCUAUCACUCACGGGCACUGGAGCGCGGGACGAUGGUGAGGCGAAGUGUGUUUCCGGCUCUGCGCAGUAUCUGUGCCAACUCCCUGUGGGGCAGUGUGACCACACUGCGUCCCUCCACAGCCUCCAGCCGGUCCCCUGGACGAAUCUGCCCGCUCCGCGCAGCAGGACUGCCCCGACGUACCGUCACAAAACGAUGGGGCAGCAGAGACACCGCUGGACAUAAAGAGAGACAGAAAUAUAUUGCUGGUUUAGUACAAGCUGAAUUUCUACAACUUUGGCCCUAUUUUACAUGAUAAAAUAAUGUCAAUGACACCAACUGACCUACCCAUGCUCAGAAAUGUACUGUAAACAUAGGAACAAAUCUCAUUCAAUCUAAUCAGAAACUAGUACACAACAAAAUAACUGACUAUGCAGUUCAAACUGUUAGAAUACAUUGCAUGUAGUAGCUUUGUCAUGUAAUUAAGUUAGCAAUCAUUAGCAUUAGUUAUCUAAUCUUAAUUAGUUACAACAGGGGUCUUUAAUUAAAAUUCAAUAAGGUCCAGUCAAAGACAAUUUCCUCAAGCAAAGGUCCGAAACAUCAUAAUGUCUAACUUGCAUUAUGAUUCAGUUACAUGUACUGGAUACUGAAGUAGUAGUUAUAUGAACAUCUUAUGUAGUCAACAACUGAAUGUCGAAUCAAAUAAAGUACAUUUCAGUCAUAUUUCAACAAUA